GUUUUUUUUUUGUGUGCUCAUAA
rnacentral:snRNA from 1 species